CUUUUGGAGGCCUGGACCUUCUCCAAGAGACUAGUGAGGUGAGACUGGACGAAGUAAGAGUCCUGCUGAGCUUGUCCACCAUGGAGCCAUGAGCUGGGGAAACUCUGGCCAGGAUCUACAUCUAGGUUUCCCCACCCACCAGUCCCUGCUGCCUGUACCUGUAAUCCGGACUGCUCUGGGCUGGAGGCGCGACUUUCCCUAGAGGAGUUGACAGUAGGAGCUGCCCAGGCAGAUUAUAUUCACUCCCCUGUCACAAUGAAGAUGCAGUAAUCAACACAGUGGUGUACUUGAGAGGUGGUAGACAGGGCCAAGUUCAAGGCCACCUGGGCACGGAGGGCACAGCCAGCCAAGACAACGGUACAGUCAGUAGCCCUGAGGACAACUCCGCUGACUGACUCUGUGUGGCCUUCAUGGACCUGUGCCCACCCUGGGAAGCUAACCAUCCCUAAUUUCUUCCCACUUUCUGACUCCUAAGAGGCUCAAGAGGGAGUUGGCUCCAUAUCCUGACCUGCAAAGGGAGGUAAAGGCAGCUGGGGACCUUGAAGCUCUUUGCCCUAGAACAUGAAUCACAACCAUCAGCAUCAUUAAACCUCCGUGUAAACAGCUCGCCCUUGCUCAUCCUUCCUCCUUGCCCGAGCAGCUAUCAAUGCCAGGCUGUAGAGAUGAACAAGUCUGCAAACCUUCCCACCACGUGCUCUCAGGUCAGCAACUGAAAACAAUAGCAACAUGGAGAUACUCCACACACAACACAGCAAGGUGCUCAAACUUAGGGCUGCUGAGUUUCCAGGGCUUCCAAGAAGAUUCCUCUCUCUCCCUCUCUCUCUCUCUCCCCCUCUCUUCUUCUCUCUCUUUCUCUUCUUUCUUCCUCUCUUUC
rnacentral:lncRNA from 1 species